rnacentral:rRNA from 1 species
GUGGAUUAGAUACCCUGGUAGUCCACGCUGUAAACGUUGUAUACUAGGUGUUAGCGGCUUGUCCGCUAGUGCCGCAGCAAACGCAUUAAGUAUACCGCCUGGGGAGUACGCCCGCAAGGGUGAAACUCAAAGAAAUUGACGGGGGCCCGCACAAGCGGUGGAGCAUGUGGUUUAAUUCGAUGAUACGCGAAGAACCUUACCUGGGCUUGAACUGUGCAUGACCGGCGUAGAGAUACGUCUUUCCUUCGGGACAUGUAUAGAGGUGCUGCACGGCUGUCGUCAACU